UACGUAGGUGUCGAGCGUUGUCCGGAUUUAUUGGGCGUAAAGAGCCCGCAGGCGGCUUGGCAAGUUUGGGGUGAAAUCUCCCGGCUCAACUGGGAGGGUGCCCUGAAAACUGUCAGGCUUGAGUCAUGGAGAGGGAUGUGGAAUUCCAGGUGUAGUGGUGAAAUGCGUAGAUAUCUGGAGGAACACCAGUGGCGAAAGCGAUGCACUGGACCUCUUCUGACGCUGAGGCGCGAAAGCCAGGGGAGCGAACGGG
rnacentral:rRNA from 1 species